GUCCCUUCAUGGAUACAGAUGGAUUUGUGUCAGAACCACCACUGAAGGAAAAUCUAAAGGAAUGAGAGAGAAAAGGUACCAGACGUUUUUUAUCCAGGAGAACAAACGUCGUAUACAGCUUAAUCUCUGUGCUGAUAAAGAUGGAUGACCUCUCCUUACCCUGAGCUGACAUGAGUUUUGGUUGUGCGAAGUCGGCACGGUGACGGGUGUUGGACUCCUGGUUCUGUGGAGAACGGC